GCCAGGCGUGGUGGUGCACACCUGUAGUCCCAGCUACUUGGGAGGCUGAGGCAGAAGAAUCACUUGGACACGGGAGUCGGAGGUUGCAGUGAGCCAGUAUCGCGCCACUGCACUCCAGCCUGGGUGACAAAGUGAGACUCUGUCUCAA
rnacentral:SRP_RNA from 1 species